AGAGUUUGAUCCUGGCUCAGGAUGAACGCUGGCGGCGUGCUUAACACAUGCAAGUCGAACGGGAAACUUUUCUUUGAACCUUCCGCAUAUUUGGGCUGUUUCGAGGGGCGGACGGGUGACUACCGCGCCGGGUAACCUGGCCUUAUACAGGGAGGAUAACAACCAGAAAUGGUAGCUAAUACACGCAUAGACCGCACAGGACUCGCAUGGUCCGGUGUGAAAAACUCCGGUGGGAUAAUUAUGGACCCAUCGUUGGAUUAGCUGGUUGGCAGGGUCACGGCCGACAAAAGCCACGAUCCAUAGCCGGCCUGAGAGGGUGAACGGCCACAUUGGGACUGAGACACGCCCCAGACUCUUACGGGAGGCAGCAGUGGGGAAUAUUGCACAAUGGGCGAAAGCCGGAUGCAGUAACGCCGUGUGAGCGAUGAAGGCAUUGGGGUAAGUAAAGCUCUGUCCUCAAGGAAGAUAAUGACGGUACAUGAGGAGGAAGCCCCGGCUAACUACGUGCCAGCACCCGCGGUAAUACGUAGGGGGCUAGCGUUAUCUCGGAUUUACUGGGCGUAAAGGGUGCGUAGGUGGUUUGUUAAGUCAGGAGAGAAAGGGUACGGCUCACACCGUAGUAAGCUCUUGAAACUGGGAAACUUGAGUGCAGGAGAGGAAAGUGGAAUUCUUAGUGUAGCGGUGAAAUGCGUAGAUAUUAGGAGGAACACCAGUAGGGAAGGGGGCUCUGUGGACUGUAAAUGACACCGAGGCACCAAAGAGUGGGGAGCAACCAAGAAUAGAUACCCUGGUAGUCCACUCGGUAAACCGAUGAGUACUAGGUGUCGGGGGUUACCCCCCUUGGUUCCGCAGCUCACGCAUUACGUACUCUUCUUGGGGAGUACGCUCGCCAGACUGAAACUCAAAUGAAUUGACGGGGACCCGCACAACUCGCGGAGCAUGUGUGUUUAAUUUGAAGCAACGCGAAGAACCUUACCUUAGCUUGACAUCGUCAUGCCCGAUGCAUAUUUGCAUCUUUCCCUUCGGGGACCGAAGUGACAGGUGGUGCAUGGUUGUCGUCAGCUCGUGUCGUGAGAUGUUGGGUUAAGUCCCGCAACGAGCGCAACCCUUGCCUUUAGUUUCCAGCAUUAAGUUGGGCACUCUAGUGGGACUGCCAGGGAUAACCUGGAGGAAGGUGGGGAUGACGUCAAAUCAUCAUGCCCCUUAUGCUUAGGGCUACACACGUGCUACAAUGGGUGGUACAGAGGGCAGCCAACUCGUGAGGCCGAGCUAAUCCCUUAAAGCCAUUCUCAGUUCGGAUUGUAGUCUGAAACUCGCCUACAUGAAGCUGGAGUUACUAGUAAUCGCAGAUCAGAAUGUUGCGGUGAAUGCGUUCCCGGGUCUUGCACACACCGCCCGUCA
rnacentral:rRNA from 1 species